rnacentral:rRNA from 1 species
UGCUCACGCCUCGCCUGCUGCCGCCGUAAAUCGUAUGUGGCCUCCGUUAUCCGUAGUUACGUGGCGUAAAGCGUGUGCAGGCGGGCCUAAAAGUGGUGUAUGAAAUCGCCCGGCUAAACCGUGCGGGGUUAUGCCAGACUGUAGGUCUGGAGUGCGAGAGAGUGGCGUGGAAUUCCGGGUGUAGUGGUGAAAUGCGUAGAGAUCCGGAGGAACCCCAGAGGCGAAGGCGGCGCCCUGGCUCGCAACUGACGCUCAGACACGACAGCAUGGGGAGCGAACGGGAUUAGAUACCCGUGUAGUC